rnacentral:rRNA from 1 species
AUGGACGAAAGCGUGGGGAGCGAACAGGAUUAGAUACCCUGGUAGUCCACGCCGUAAACGAUGCUAACUCGUUUUUGGGCUUUCGGGUUCAGAGACUAAGCGAAAGUGAUAAGUUAGCCACCUGGGGAGUACGAACGCAAGUUUGAAACUCAAAGGAAUUGACGGGGGCCCGCACAAGCGGUGGAUUAUGUGGUUUAAUUCGAUGAUACGCGAGGAACCUUACCAAGACUUAAAUGGGAAUUGAUCGGUUUAGAAAUAGACCUUCCUUCGGGCAAUUUUCAAGGUGCUGCAUGGUUGUCGUCAGCUCGUGCCGUGAGGUGUUAGGUUAAGUCCUGCAACGAGCGCAACCCCUGUCACUAGUUGCCAUCAUUCAGUUGGGGACUCUAGUGAGACUGCCUACGCAAGUAGAGAGGAAGGUGGGGAUGACGUCAAAUCAUCACGGCCCUUACGUCUUGGGCCACACACGUAAUACAAUGGCCGGUACAGAGGGCAGCUACACAGCGAUGUGAUGCAAAUCUCGAAAGCCGGUCUCAGUUCGGAUUGGAGUCUGCAACUCGACUCUAUGAAGCUGGAAUCGCUAGUAAUCGCGCAUCAGCCAUGGCGCGGUGAAUACGUUCCCGGGCCUUGUACACACCGCCCGUCAAGCCAUGGAAGUCUGGG